UACGUAGGGUGCGAGCGUUAAUCGGAAUUACUGGGCGUAAAGCGUGCGCAGGCGGUUAUGCAAGACAGAUGUGAAAUCCCCGGGCUCAACCUGGGAACUGCAUUUGUGACUGCAUGGCUGGAGUGCGGCAGAGGGGGAUGGAAUUCCGCGUGUAGCAGUGAAAUGCGUAGAUAUCGGGAGGAACACCAGUGGCGAAGGCGACUUCCUGGCCUGUUCUUGACGCUGAGGCGCGAAAGCUAGGGUAGCAAACGGG
rnacentral:rRNA from 1 species